UGGGGAAUAUUGCACAAUGGGCGCAAGCCUGAUGCAGCCAUGCCGCGUGUAUGAAGAAGGCCUUCGGGUUGUAAAGUACUUUCAGCGGGGAGGAAGGCGAUAAGGUUAAUAACCUUGUCGAUUGACGUUACCCGCAGAAGAAGCACCGGCUAACUCCGUGCCAGCAGCCGCGGUAAUACGGAGGGUGCAAGCGUUAAUCGGAAUUACUGGGCGUAAAGCGCACGCAGGCGGUCUGUCAAGUCGGAUGUGAAAUCCCCGGGCUCAACCUGGGAACUGCAUUCGAAACUGGCAGGCUAGAGUCUUGUAGAGGGGGGUAGAAUUCCAGGUGUAGGGUGAAAUGCGUAGAGAUCUGGAGGAAUACCGGUGGCGAAGGCGGCCCCCUGGACAAAGACUGACGCUCAGGUGCGAAAGCGUGGGGAGCAAACA
rnacentral:rRNA from 1 species